AGGUCAAAGAUGACAUGUAGAAGAGACACAAGAACCACAGUGCACUGCUGCGACUCGGGGGGGUCAUUGUUCCUCUUCUCACAGCAGCGCCAGACUUCCAAUGUGCGGGUGUGAUGACACUGCCUCAGGAAAUGAAGGCCCCGCCUCCUCAGCCAGAAGUCAGCGUUCAUGCAGACUGAGGGUGCAGACAUGAAUCGGGCGCUUUUAUGUGUGCUGAUGGCUGCUUGGAGUCUUGGAAGCAGCGGCCAGAGAGUGCACCAACCCGAAGGGGACAUCCACACAGUGGCGGGUGCAACAGUGACACUGGAAUGCAGGUAUAAAACAUUGGGGAGCAACGACUACAUCUUCUGGUACAAACAAGAAGCCAACGCAGCACCUGAGUUCAUCCUGAGCCGAUUUAAGCUCGAUCAAGGCAAGACGGCAGAAAAGUACGCUGACAGGUAUCGCUGCAGCAUGGACGCCAGCGCUCGGCAAGCUCCUCUGCGUGUCGAACGCGUGAAGCUCAGCGACUUGGGAGUCUUCUACUGCGCCCUGCAGCCCACGCUGACACAUCCACUGGCCUGCCUGCACAAAAACUCUUGCAACCGUCUCAUCUCGUAACAUACAUGGGGGGCGUGGCCUCACAGGAAGAAAUGGGUCAAACUGUCGCAGAGCUGCAAGUUAGCGUGACAACAGGCUGUUUUCGUGCUGAAGGAGGAUAUUGUCCUGUCCCAUUGUGGCCCAGCGGGCCUAAAAACGUACUUUGUAACUCAAUGAGGAUGAUUUUUCGAUUCUACUUGCCGCUCACUCGGUCAUGAGUCUCAGAUGUGCUCCUUUGCUCAUCUGAUUUCAGACUCCAUAUGGAUUCCUUCUGGUAUUUCAGUGUCCUCUCCUUCUUUCUGAUCUGACAGCCUGAAGCCAAAUGAAUUAAGGCGUCACUUCAAGACAUUACACCCAAUCACGCUAAUAAGCCGCUUGAGUUUUUUCAGCGAAAACGUGCCGAAUAUUGCCAACAAUCAUUCCGCUUCGUGACUGCUCCUUCAGUGAACUAAAACACAGGUCCCGGCUACACAUUGAGCAGGAGUCGAGAGUUGCUGUGUCCUGCUUCAAACCUCACUUCGAAAAGCUGUGCA